CCUACGGGAGGCAGCAGUGGGUAAUAUUGCACAAUGGGCGGAAGCCUGAUGCAGCAACGCCGCGUGCGGGAUGACGGCCUUCGGGUUGUAAACCGCUUUCGCCUGUGAGGAAGCGUGAGUGACGGUAAUGGGUAAAGAAGCCCCGGCUAACUACGUGCCAGCAGCCGCGGUGAUACGUAGGGUGCGAGAGUUGUCCGGAUUUAUUGGGCGUAAAGGGGUCGUAGGUGGUUGAUCGCGUCGGAAGUGUAAUCUUGGGGCUUAACCCUGAGCGUGCUUUCGAUACGGGUUGACUUGAGGAAGGUAGGGGAGAAUGGAAUUUGUGGUGGAGCGGUGGAAUGCGCAGAUAUCAGGAGGAACACCAGUGGCGAAGGCGGUUUUAUGGGCCUUUCCUGACGCCGAGGAGGGAAAGCGUGGGGAGCGAACAGGGUUAGAUCCCGUGGUUGUUCACGCAGUAAACGCUGGAUAGUAGGUGGGGGGUCCAUUCCACCGGUUCCCAGCCGCAGUUAUCGCUCUAAGUACCCCGCUGGGGGAGUACGGCCCCCAGGUUACAAUUUAAAUGAAUUGACGGGG
rnacentral:rRNA from 1 species